rnacentral:ribozyme from 1 species
UGCCCAACAACUCCAAUCCCUACCUCCGCGUGGAGCCGGCCAGUCUGCGAGCAACCUUAGGGAAGAUGGGGUAACCAACCCCGGCCCCGGUGGGAACUUUGGUCAUAGGCUGACAGGGAAGG